GGCUCUAGGGUGUGAGGGUUAGCAGCGCCGGCUUGUCAGGCCGGAGGAAGGGGUUCGAGUCCCCUUAGAGUCG
rnacentral:tRNA from 1 species